CCCCGGAUUCACAAUUAUGUCAAUAAAUAAAAAACAAGUUUUAACUGUAUAACCUCCAUUUGCUGAUGAGGAUCAAAAUUUCUUAUCUGAAGUUGUUUCCUUUAGCCGAAAGCUUUCUAGAGAUGAGAGAAGGUAGACGACCUGUUCAGUUUCGAAGAGGAACAAUUGUCUCAUCCAAACCCCUAAGUACUUGAUUGCAACCUAAUGAAAUCCAUAACGAAAGGACCAAGAAAACCCUAUAUAUUAGCCAAAACCUAAAGAAAUUCAAAGAACACUGCUUGUGUUAACAUCCAUUUCAUAAACAGAACCAAACAUAAAAUUGUUUAUGGAGAAAAAAAAACUGAAAAUCCAAAAAGAUUAAAACAAUGACAUCAAAUAGUUAUAGUAUAAUUUGUUGCUGAAAAAGGACACAAACAAAGCAAAAAUAUAUGUGAUAAAAUUUUAUAUGAAAUGAUUAAAAGUCUACAAAAAUAAGAAAGCAUGCCUAACCUUCAAUCCUUACAUCGAUCACUCUCAAGUCACUACAUAUAAGAAAUAAAAGAGCAGAGACUACAUAAAAAUAUACUCAGGGGUACAAACUAUAUAAACUAUAGAAUAAGAAAAACCAUAUCCCCAAAUUCAAUAACAAUACUGUAGAUUCAAAAUUCUUGUUCAGAUUCAAAACCCUAGAUUCUACUUUCAAUUUUAAUUAACACAAAACUAACAACAAAACUCUAAAUUAUGUCUACGGAUUUUGGAUUUUGAAACAAAUACAUUGUGUCUAAGUCUUUUAUAAGAAGCAAAAAAGGAGAUACAUACUUAUCAUAAGGAUCGAAAGUGGAAGAAUUUUUUUAGUUCUUUUCUUCUUGUGGUGGAUGGCCCCUCCUGCAUCGAAAAAACAAUCUUUGUAGUCUCAUGAUAUUUUUUAUGGAUCUUUUUUUCUCUAGCUAAACCUUAAUUUUUUGUUGCCUAUGAGAACCAAGAAAAAAAAAAUUUAUCUAAAAUUUUUUUGUGACUUGCCAUGAGAUGAAGAAGGAAACCAACUAAAAUCAAAGGAAAAACAUUUGAAAUACCCAAAACACCCUUCUAUGACCAUUCAUGCAGCCAACAAAUCCAAGGCUAAAAUUGUCACUCAACUAUUAAAAUCCGCGAUAAAUAUACUUAUAGUCUACAGUGCACACAAUCAGC
rnacentral:lncRNA from 1 species